UUUGAUCCUCGGCUCAGGACGAACGCUGGCGGCGUGCUUAACACAUGCAAGUCGAACGAUGAAAGAGAAUCCGAUCUCUUCGGAGUGAAGAAUCUCUGGAUUAGUGGCGGACGGGUGAGUAACGCGUGAGCAAUCUGCCUUACACAAAGGGAUAGCCUCGGGAAACCGGGAUUAAUACCAUAUGAUAUCUACAAGCCGCAUGGCCUAUAGAUUAAAGAAUUUCGGUGUAAGAUGAGCUCGCGUCCCAUUAAUUAGUUGGUGAGGGUAACGGCCCACCAAGAUAGCGAUGGGUAGCCGAUCUAAGAGGAUGACCGGCCACAUUGGAACUGAGAAACGGUCCAAACUCCUACGGGAGGCAGCAGUGGGGAAUAUUGCACAAUGGGGGAAACCCUGAUGCAGCGACGCCGCGUGAGCGAUGAAGGCUUUCGAGUCGUAAAGCUCUGUCCUAUGGGAAGAUAAUGACGGUACCAUAGAAGAAAGCCCCGGCUAAUUACGUGCCAGCCGCCGC
rnacentral:rRNA from 1 species